AUGGUUUGGAAAUCUAUGGUUUGUUCAAGAGAUUUCUUCUCCCUAUGCAGGUUUUACUUCAUUAAGGUCAAUUCAAGAAGCUUUGCAGUUUUACAUAUCUGGCCACCCAGCACUUCUCCUUCCUGCUGCCUUGUGAAGAAGAUGCCUUGGUGCUUCUUUGCCUUCUGCCAUAAUUGCAAGUUUUCUGAGACUUCCAGAGUCAUGCUGAACUGUGAGUCAAUUAAACCUCUUUUCUUUGUAAAUUAUCCAGUUUUGGGUAUUUCUUCAUAACAGCAUGAGAACAGACUAAUGCAACUAUGUAUUAUAGUUGGUAUGUAUAUCUACAUCUAUUUACACAUAUAUGCUGUGUCUGUCUAUGUCUGUGUGUGGGCAAGGUGAGUCAUUAGUUGUUGGCUUUGACAGAAGGCAUGGGAGAGAUAUUUAUUAGAUGCUUAUUUUAUUUUAUUCUCCUAAUGGACUUUGGACGUUGGUAAUAUUGUCCAAUUUUACAGAUCAGAAAAUGGAAUUACAGGAUUAGUGAUAUAAAAUAUAUCAUUUUUUCUUCAUCUUAUGGGUUACUUUUAUUAUGCACUUUUAUAGAACAUAAAAAUGGGCAGCAAAUGGUGAUCUGGGUUUUUAAUUCAGGUUUAAAUCUAAAGUGUAGUACCUUGACUGCAGUAUGUUCCUAACCCUCAUUUGACGGUGCAAAAAUGGAUCAAGGAGCCGGACGUGAGCCCUGGCAGAAAAGCACACACUUGAUGAUUGGUCUCGGCAUUCACACUGUAACUUACUACUUGGAAGCCAAUAAUGUUGAGUCAUAAAAUCAGCAUGACAUUGAGUGUAUGUAUGUUGGUCAAUUUUUUUAAAAGCACACUUUGUGGCAAAGCUGCAAUUACUUUUGCACCAACCUAAUAAAAGAUAAAACAAAUUUCCCAGUCUCUCGGUGACACAGGAGCCAGAGGAAGAUGCUGAAAAUUUAUAUCCAGUGAAGGAUGGCCAUUGGAAGUUAAGAUAUGCAGUGUCCAUUAUUAUUAAUUUAACAUAUAUAAAAUGUCAUUGAUAUUUUCUUUAUUUCAUGUGCUGCUUUUAUGAUUCUCUUUUACAGGACAUAAAAAUAUUUUAAGGGCUUUCAGUUAUAGGUUUAUCAGCAACUUCUGUCUUUUAAACCUUUUUUUUCCCCAGGAGUUAUUAAUUUCUUAAUCAGAACUAAUAGUCCCACCAUCACUGAAAUGAGCUGCAUGGUGAAUAUCUGGAGCAUCUAUGCUCAGCCACACCCUUGGAAAUUGCUGAAAAUGCUGCCAUUGACAGGAAGCAGUGACACCACUGGAUUGCUCUUGCCUUGGUCUUGGGCUCUUUGGUCUCUAGUCUCCACUGUGUCACACUGGAUACGGCACAGAGCAAGAAUAGCCUCCUUCAUUGCAAUCACAGAACCAAAACAUACCGAAUGUCUGGGGAAGAAUGGGACAGAAGAUACUUUAAGAGAUUAAUUUUCGAUUUGUCCCUUCUCAUAUAACAUGAAGCCAGAUUUGUCCCCUACCAUUGAAAUAGCUGUUGAUGAUCUUGGGCAUUAAAGGGCAGAACUCAGGCAACGAGGAAGGCGUUAAACAGUAGAUGAGCCUCUCUCUCGAGAAGGUGUGGUCUAGGGAAAAACCAUUCCAUUUACUCAGAUUUCAGAGUUUGGAGGUGCAAUCUUAGCGGCAUGAUUAUGUGACCAUACUCUGAGUAUACGUGUGCAGUUUGUGAUUUUGGUUUGAGCCAACAAUAUCAGUAAAUAGAAAUGAUUCACAUACACUGUAUUUUAAUCUGACUUACAUUGGAAAGGUGAAAAAAAUCACUCUUUGAAAUCCAGAGCUUGGAAGAUCUCCAGUAAAAAUUUCCGACCAAAAGAUCUGAAUAUGGCUCAGACUUGUUUAAAAGGAGCAACUGAUAAAAACAUUCCUUUAUUGCUCAGAAAACAUUAAAAGAUUUGCUUACAGCUCUGCUGUAGGUGAUAAAGGCAAAUCAGUAAAAAUUCCACUAGGAACAAAUAUUGUGUUAUGGGCUGUAUUUGCUAUUGUCUUAUUAUAAAUUAAUAAAGCCAUAUUCCGAAUUCGACUGGUAUCUUGAGUUUGAUGUAAAAAGGAGGAGAAGGUGCAGGAGUUAGAAACCCUGAUUCUA
ensembl:lncRNA